CCUACGGGGGGCAGCAGUGGGGAAUAUUGGACAAUGGGGGGAACCCUGAUCCAGCCAUGCCGCGUGUGUGAAGAAGGCCCUCGGGUUGUAAAGCACUUUCAGUGAGGAAGAACGCCUGGUGGUUAAUACCCAUCAGGAAAGACAUCACUCACAGAAGAAGCACCGGCUAACUCCGUGCCAGCAGCCGCGGUAAUACGGAGGGUGCGAGCGUUAAUCGGAAUUACUGGGCGUAAAGCGCGCGUAGGUGGCUUGAUAAGCCGGUUGUGAAAGCCCCGGGCUCAACCCGGGAACAGCAUCCGGAACUGUCAAGCUAGAGUGCAGGAGAGGAAGGUAGAAUUCCCGGUGUAGCGGUGAAAUGCGUAGAGAUCGGGAGGAAUACCAGUGGCGAAGGCGGCCUUCUGGACUGACACUGACACUGAGGUGCGAAAGCGUGGGUAGCAAACAGGAUUAGAUACCCUAGUAGUC
rnacentral:rRNA from 1 species